rnacentral:rRNA from 1 species
CAAUCUACCUUUCACAGAGGGAUAGCCCAGAGAAAUUUGGAUUAAUACCUCAUAGUAUAUAGACCUGGCAUCAGGAUUAUAUUAAAGUCACAACGGUGAAAGAUGAGCAUGCGUCCCAUUAGCUAGUUGGUAAGGUAACGGCUUACCAAGGCAACGAUGGGUAGGGGUCCUGAGAGGGAGAUCCCCCACACUGGUACUGAGACACGGACCAGACUCCUACGGGAGGCAGCAGUGAGGAAUAUUGGACAAUGGGCGCAAGCCUGAUCCAGCCAUGCCGCGUGCAGGAUGACGGUCCUAUGGAUUGUGAACUGCUUUUGUACAGGAAGAAACAGUUCUACGUGUAGAACCUUGACGGUACUGUAAGAAUAAGGAUCGGCUAACUCCGUGCCAGCAGCCGCGGUAAUACGGAGGAUCCAAGCGUUAUCCGGAAUCAUUGGGUUUAAAGGGUCCGUAGGCGGUUUAGUAAGUCAGUGGUGAAAGCCCAUCGCUCAACGGUGGAACGGCCAUUGAUACUGCUAGACUUGAAUUAUUAGGAAGUAACUAGAAUAUGUAGUGUAGCGGUGAAAUGCUUAGAGAUUACAUGGAAUACCAAUUGCGAAGGCAGGUUACUACUAAUGGAUUGACGCUGAUGGACGAAAGCGUGGGUAGCGAACAGGAUUAGAUACCCUGGUAGUCCACGCCGUAAACGAUGGAUACUAGCUGUUGGGCGCAAGUUCAGUGGCUAAGCGAAAGUGAUAAGUAUCCCACCUGGGGAGUACGUUCGCAAGAAUGAAACUCAAAGGAAUUGACGGGGGCCCGCACAAGCGGUGGAGCAUGUGGUUUAAUUCGAUGAUACGCGAGGAACCUUACCAAGGCUUAAAUGUAGAUUGACCGUUUUGGA